GUUUGAUCCUGGCUCAGAACGAACGUUGGCGGCGUGGAUUAGGCAUGCAAGUCGAACGAGAAAGUUCCCUUCGGGGAGCGAGUACAGUGGCGAACGGGUGAGUAUCGAGUGGGUAAUGUGCCUCUUGGCGGGGGACAACAUCUGGAAACAGAUGCUAAUACCGCAUGAGGCCCGACGGGUGUUGGCUCGUCGGGGCAAAGGUGCACUUCGGUGUGCCGCCAGGAGAUCAGCCCAUUCCCGAUUAGCUUGUUGGUGGGGUAACGGCCUACCAAGGCAUUGAUCGGUAGGUGGCCUGAGAGGGUGGUCACCCACACUGGGACUGAGAUACGGCCCAGACUCCUACGGGAGGCAGCAGUCUAGGAGCUUCCACAAUGGACGAAAGUCUGAUGGAGCGACGCCGCGUGCGGGAUUGAAGGCCGGAAGGUUGUAAACCGCUGUCAGCAGGGAAGAAUGCCCCGAUGGUGAAUCGGGGAGCGACGGUACCUGCAGAGGAAGCCCCGGCUAACUCCGUGCCAGCAGCCGCGGUAAUACGGAGGGGGCGAACGUUGUUCGGAAUCACUGGGCGUAAAGGGUGCGUAGGCGGCUUGGUCAGUCUAGUGUUAAAGCCUCUCGCUCAACGAGAGAAAUGCACUGGAUACUGCCGAGCUCGAGGAUGGGAGAGGCAGGUGGAAUUCCUGGUGUAGCGGUGGAAUGCGUAGAUAUCAGGAAGAACACUCGUGGCGAAGGCGGCCUGCUGGCCCAUUUCUGACGCUGAGGCACGAAAGCCAGGGGAGCGAACGGGAUUAGAUACCCCGGUAGUCCUGGCCGUAAACGGUGAACACUAGGUGUCGGGGGUAUCGACCCCUCCGGUGCCGUAGCUAACGCGUUAAGUUUCCGCCUGGGGAGUACGACCGCAAGGUUGAAACUCAAAGGAAUUGACGGGGGCCCGCACAAGCGGUGGAGUAUGUUGUUUAAUUCGAAGCAACGCGAAGAACCUUACCAGGGCUUAAACUGCAGGGUAAACCCUCUGAAAGGAGGGCUGCUUCGGCGAUCCUGUAGAGGUGCUGCAUGGCAGUCGUCAGCUCGUGUCGUGAGAUGUUGGGUUAAUUCCCGCAACGAGCGCAACCCUUGCUUUUAGUUACCAGCGCGUAAUGGCGGGGACUCUAGAGGGACUGCCGCCGUAAGGCGGAGGAAGGUGGGGAUGACGUCAUGUCCUCAUGGCCCUUAUGUCCUGGGCUACAAACGUACUACAAUGGUCGGUACAGAGGGCUGCCACACUGCGAAGUGGAGCGAAUCCCUUAAAGCCGGCCCCGGUUCAGAUUGCAGUCUGCAACUCGACUGCAUGAAGGCGGAAUCGCUAGUAAUCGCGGAUCAGCACGCCGCGGUGAAUACGUUCCCGGGCCUUGUACACACCGCCCGUCAUAUCACGAAAGUU
rnacentral:rRNA from 1 species